UCAAGCUAAAAAGGGCGCAGGGCGAAUGCCUUGGCACUGGGAGCCGAAGAAAGACGUGAUAAGCUGCGAUAAGCCGCGGGGAGAUGCAAAUAAUCUUUGAUCCGCGGAUUUCUGAAUGGGGAAACCCACUGGAGCAAACCUCCAGUACCGUAUACUGAAUCAAAUAGGUAUACGGAGGGAACCGCCUGAACUGAAACAUCUAAGUAGGGCGAGGAAGAGACAUCAACCGAGAUUCCGUAAGUAGUGGCGAGCGAACGCGGAAGAGGCCAAACCGAGGGUAGAAAUACCUUCGGGGUUCGGACUGCUUUAAGGACUGCAAUUGUUAACCGAAGGGUAUGGGAAGGCCCACCGAAGAGUGUGAGAGUCACGUAGGUGAAAACGAAAGCAGCUGCGCAGGAUCCAGAGUACGGCCAGACACGUGAAACCUGGUCGGAAUACGGGGGGACCACCCUCCAAGCCUAAAUACUACCCAGUGACCGAUAGCGUAUAGUACUGUGAAGGAAAGGUGAAAAGAACCCCGGGAGGGGAGUGAAAUAGAACCUGAAACCCUGUGCCUACAAGCACAUAGAGCACGUCAAAGUGUGAUAUGGUACUUUUUGUAGAACGGUCCGGCGAGCGACUGUAUGCAGCGAGGUUAAGUUGUUAAGCAAUGGAGCCGAAGCGAGAGCGAGUCUGAAUAGGGCGAUUUAGUUGCAUGCAGUGGGCCCGAAACCGGGUGACCUAUCCAUGGUCAGGUUGAAGUGGAGGUAAAACUCCAUGGAGGACCGAACCGACCUCCGUUGAAAAGGCGGCGGAUGAACUGUGGAUAGCGGAGAAAUUCCAAUCGAACCCGGAGAUAGCUGGUUCUCCCCGAAAUAGUUUUAGGACUAGCCUCAUGUUAGAUUUCCGGAGGUAAAGCACUGAAUAGCCUAGGGCCCGAGAGGGUACCGAAGCUUAUCAAACUAAGAAUGCCGGAAAAUUGAUGCAUGGGAGUCAGACUGUGUGAGAUAAGUCUCACAGUCAAAAGGGAAACAGCCCAGAUCUACAGCUAAGGUCCCAAAGCAGGUUUAAGUGGAAAAGGAUGUGAAGUUGCUAAGACAACCAGGAUGUUGGCUUAGAAGCAGCCACUCAUUCAAAGAGUGCGUAAUAGCUCACUGGUCGAGUGACUUUGCGCCGAAAAUUCAACGGGGCUAAAACCUGCACCGAAGCUUAGGCAGCAUUCUGUUGAACAAAGUUUAUAAGGUUGAAUUACGGGCCACGAAGUGGCACCAAAUUGUCCGUUAAGGAUAAAGCCGAUCUUGUAGAUUUUGUUCAGCAGAAUGUUGGGUAGGGGAGCGUUGUGUACGCGGUGAAGUUAUAGCGUAAGCGGUAGUGGAGUGUACACAAGUGAGAAUGCCGGAAUGAGUAGCGAGAAUUGUGUGAGAAUCACAAUGGCCGAAAGCCUAAGGUUUCUGGAGGAAGGUUCGUCCGCUCCAGGUUAGCCGGGAGCUAAGGUGAGGCCGAAAGGCGUAGCCGAUGCACAUACGGUAGAGAUUCCGUAGCCACCGAAACAGUUAAGCAUGGGGACACUUUUGAAAUGUUCGUGCCAGGCGUUGGUUGCCCUGGUCGAAAGGGACCGAAAUUUAGUAGGGAAGUCGAGCAUGGAGAGAGGCGAGAAAAGCCAUGUGUAUUUGUCAGGUGCCCGUACCGCAAACCGACACAGGUAGGUAGGAAGAGGAUUCUAAGGCCAACGGGAGAAGGGUUGUUAAGGAACUCGGCAAGUUGACCCCGUAACUUCGGGAGAAGGGGUGCUCACGAGAGUGAGCCGCAGAGAAUAGGCCCAAGCAACUGUUUAGCAAAAACACAGGUCUGUGCUAAAUCGAAAGAUGACGUAUACGGGCUGACACCUGCCCGGUGCUGGAAGGUUAAGGGGAGUUGUGCAAGCAGCGAACUGAAGCCCCAGUAAACGGCGGCCGUAACUAUAACGGUCCUAAGGUAGCGAAAUUCCUUGUCAGGUAAGUUCUGACCCGCACGAAUGGUGUAAUGAUUUGGGCACUGUCUCAACAGCCCGCCCGGCGAAAUUGUAGUACCGGUGAAGAUGCCGGUUACCCGCGACAAGACGGAAAGACCCCAUGGAGCUUUACUGUAGCCUAAUAUUGGGUCUUGGUAUUACAUGUACAGGAUAGGUGGGAGACUAGGAAACCCGGGCGUCAGCUCGGGCGGAGUCACCCUUGGGAUACCACCCUUGUGAUACUAGGAUUCUAACCUGCGGCCCUGAAUCGGGUCGGGGGACAUUGUUAGGUGGGCAGUUUGACUGGGGCGGUCGCCUCCUAAAGCGUAGCGGAGGCGUUCAAAGGUUGGCUCAGCAUGGACGGAAACCAUGCUAUUGAGUGCAAACGCAUAAGCCAGCCUAACUGCGAGACCGACGGGUCGAGCAGUAACGAAAGUUGGAGUUAGUGAUCCGGUGGUAUGUGAGUGGAAAUGCCAUCGCUCAACGGAUAAAAGUUACCCUGGGGAUAACAGGCUGAUCUCCCCCAAGAGUCCACAUCGACGGGGAGGUUUGGCACCUCGAUGUCGGCUCAUCGCAUCCUGGGGCUGUAUUCGGUCCCAAGGGUUUGGCUGUUCGCCAAUUAAAGCGGUACGCGAGCUGGGUUCAGAACGUCGUGAGACAGUUCGGUCCCUAUCUGUCGUGGGCGCAGGAUAUUUGAUGGGAUCUGUCCCUAGUACGAGAGGACCGGGAUGGACGCACCUCUGGUGCACCAGUUGUCACGCCAGUGGCACAGCUGGGCAGCUAUGUGCGGAUCGGAUAAACGCUGAAAGCAUCUAAGCGUGAAGCCGGCCCAAAGAUAAGAUAUCCCACUGAGUUAAUCAGGUAAGACCCCUUGAAGACUACAAGGUUGAUAGGCACAAAGUGUAAGCAUGGUGACAUGUUGAGCUAGCGUGUACUAAUAGGUCGAGGGCUUGUCCAC
rnacentral:rRNA from 1 species